rnacentral:rRNA from 1 species
UACGGAGGGGGCUAGCGUUGUUCGGAAUUACUGGGCGUAAAGCGCACGUAGGCGGCUUUGUAAGUUAGAGGUGAAAGCCCGGGGCUCAACUCCGGAAUUGCCUUUAAGACUGCAUCGCUAGAAUUGUGGAGAGGUAAGUGGAAUUCCGAGUGUAGAGGUGAAAUUCGUAGAUAUUCGGAAGAACACCAGUGGCGAAGGCGACUUACUGGACACAUAUUGACGCUGAGGUGGUGAAAGCGUGGGGGAGCAAACAGG